rnacentral:rRNA from 1 species
GAGUUUGAUUAAGGCUCAGNCCUUNCGCGUGGCGGUAUGCUUAACACAUGCAAGUCGAACGANANAGCACCUUCGGGUGUGAGUAGAGUGGCGCACGGGUGAGUAACACGUAGGUGACCUACCUUAUAGUGGGGGAUAACUCCGAGAAAUUGGAGCUAAUACCGCAUACGAUAAACGACAUUGAAAAAGUUUAUGAAAGAGUGCCUCUCCUUGGAAGCACUUGCUAUUAGAUGGGCCUGCGGAGCAUUAGCUUGUUGGUGGGGUAAUGGCCUACCAAAGCGACGAUGCUUAUCUGAUCUGAGAGGAUGAUCAGACACACUGGAACUGAGACACGGUCCAGACUCCUACGGGAGGCAGCAGUGGGGAAUAUUGCGCAAUGGACGAAAGUCUGACGCAGCAAUACCGCGUGGGUGAGGAAGGUUUUCGGAUCGUAAAACCCUGUUAAUGUGGAAAAACGGCGCAGUAUCUAAUAGGUAUUGCGAGUGAUGGUACACAUAGAGGAAGCACCGGCUAACUUCGUGCCAGCAGCCGCGGUAAUACGAAGGGUGCAAGCGUUGUUCGGAUUUAUUGGGCGUAAAGCGCGCGCAGGCGGAUUAUUAAGCCAGAUGUGAAAUCUCGGGGCUCAACCCCGAAACUGCGUCUGGAACUGGUAGUCUAGAAUCAUGGAGAGGAAAGGGGAAUUUCGCAUGUAGGGGUAAAAUCCGUAGAGAUGCGAAGGAACACCGGAGGCGAAGGCGCCUUUCUGGCCAUGUAUUGACGCUGANGCGCGAAAGCGUGGGGAGCAAACAGGAUUAGAUACCCUGGUAGUCCACGCCGUAAACGAUGUGCACUAGAUAUUGGAGGAUUGACCCCUUCGGUGUCGUAGCUAACGCGUUAAGUGCACCGCCUGGGGGAGUACGGUCNCNAGACUAAAAACUCCA